rnacentral:tRNA from 1 species
GCCCAGUUGGUUGAGCAUCUGACUUCGGCUCAGGUCAUGAUCUUGUGGUUUGUGGGUUCGAGCCCCACAUUGGGCU